UUCAUACCAGUACCAGUAGCCCCCAGCAGAGACAGACAUUUGUAGGAACAUCUCGGAAAUUUCACAUAAAAUGAAAAGCGGUAGCUGCCCAAUAUCAGAACUCUACAGCAGUGAACAUUACAGCAGUGGACCAGAAGAAC